GUUGCUUCAAACUCGAACCUGAGAGCGCAUUGGAUCUCUGUUUGUUUGUCAGGGCUGAUGAUGAUGACCCCUGCGCCCGAGCCCGAGGAGUUCGAUGCUCCAUCCACAAAUAUUUGCCAAGUGUCCAAAUUAGUGCUCAUGCUCGAGCUAUCACCUGGCCCCCGAGGCCUAGGGGUUAGUUCUGCAAUGAAGUCGGCCAGAGCUUGGGCUUUGAUAGAUGGGCAUGGUUUGAAUUCUAUGUCAAAUUCUCCAAGCUCGAUUGCCCAUUUCAUCAGUCUUCCUGAUACGUCCGGCUUCUGAAGUAUAUGCCUAAGUGGUUGAUUAGUGAGCACCACAAUAGGGUGAGACUGAAAAUACUGUCGGAGUUUCCGUGCUGCUAUAACCAAGGCAAGGGCAAGUUGUUCCGCCAAAGUAUACCUUGUUUCCGCAUCCAGUAGGACCUUGCUUACAUAGUAGAUAGGUUGU
rnacentral:lncRNA from 1 species